GACGAACGCUGGCGGCGUGCCUAAUACAUGCAAGUCGAACGCAGUGGGGACGGGUGAGUAACACGUGGGUAACCUCCCCAUCAGAGGGGAUAACACUUGGCAACAGGUGCUAAACCGAUACUGAUGGAUGAACCGGCGGUUCAUUAGCUAGUUGGUGAGGUAACGGCUCACCAAGGCCACGAUGCAUAGCCGACCUGAGAGGGUGACAGGACACCAUGGGACUGAGACAAGGCCCAGACUCCUACGGGAGGCAGCAGUAGGGAAUCUUCGGCAAUGGACGAAAGUCUGACCGAGCCACGCCGCGUGAGUGAAGAAGGUUUUCGGAUCGUAAAACUCUGUUGGUAGAGAAGCGGUAUCUAACCAGAAAGCCACGGCUAACUACGGGCCAGCAGCCGCGGUAAUUC
rnacentral:rRNA from 1 species